rnacentral:lncRNA from 1 species
UUUUCUUGAAUUUCUUCUUGGGUGGACAGGACCAAUCAAAAUCUUACUAGAACUCCAUUUCAGUGAGUUCCUUAGAGGUCUUCAGGUGAGACAGAAUGGCCCAUGUGCGGUCGAAGAUCUCAUGAAGAUAAUAGUGAUGUUUCUUCACUCCAUUUUGUGUUGCAUUUAGAUCAUGCACAAUGGCUCCAAACUGAUGCUUUACCCAUUUGUGGUUGCAAUCAACCUUUUGAUGAAGACUAAGUGUAAGUGCAUUUAGUGCCCCUUAGUGACUUUGGUUGUUUGAAGACUUAUAGGUUAAGUAUCUAAUGUGUUCAUGAGUGUACACAUGAUCUAUAAGUCAUCGAGGAGUUUGAAAUAUUU